UACAGAGGUCUCAAGCGUUGUUCGGAUUCAUUGGGCGUAAAGGGUGCGUAGGCGGCGGGGCAAGUCUGAUGUGAAAUCCCGGGGCUCAACCCCGGAACUGCAUUGGAUACUGCCUUGCUAGAGUACUGGAGAGGAGACUGGAAUUUACGGUGUAGCAGUGAAAUGCGUAGAUAUCGUAAGGAAGGCCAGUGGCGAAGGCGAGUCUCUGGACAGUUACUGACGCUGAGGCACGAAGGCCAGGGGAGCGAACGGG
rnacentral:rRNA from 1 species